GACGAACGCUGGCGGCGUGCUUAACACAUGCAAGUCGAACGGUAAGGCCCUUCGGGGUACACGAGUGGCGAACGGGUGAGUAACACGUGGGUGAUCUGCCCUGCACUUUGGGAUAAGCCUGGGAAACUGGGUCUAAUACCGAAUAUGACCUCGGACUUCACGGUUUGUGGUGGAAAGCUUUUGCGGUGUGGGAUGGGCCCGCGGCCUAUCAGCUUGUUGGUGGGGUAAUGGCCUACCAAGGCGACGACGGGUAGCCGGCCUGAGAGGGUGUCCGGCCACACUGGGACUGAGAUACGGCCCAGACUCCUACGGGAGGCAGCAGUGGGAAGUAUUGCACAAUGGGCGCAAGCCUGAUGCAGCGGCGCCGCGUGGGGGAUGAC
rnacentral:rRNA from 1 species